UACGUAGGUGACAAGCGUUGUCCGGAUCUACUGGGCGUAAAGAGCGCGCAGGCGGUCGUUCAAGUCGAGUGUGAAAGCCCCCGGCUCAACUGGGGAGGGUCACUCGAUACUGAUCGACUCGAAGGCAGGAGAGGGAAGUGGAAUUCCGGGUGUAGCGGUGGAAUGCGUAGAGAUCCGGAAGAACACCGGUGGCGAAGGCGGCCUGCUGGGCAGUAGCUGACACUGAGGCGCGACAGCGUGGGGAGCAAACAGG
rnacentral:rRNA from 1 species